AGGAUGAACGCUAGCGAACAGGCCUAACACAUGCAAGUCGAGGGGCAGCAUAAAAGUGCAUACUUUGGGGCGACCGGCGCACGGGUGAAGUAACACGUAUGACAACCUACCUGUAAAGUAGGGGAAUAACCCGGCGAAAGUCGGACUAAUACCGCAUAAUACUGAGAAUUCGCAUGAAUUUUCAUUUAAAUAUUUAUAGAUUACAGAUGGGCAUGCGCAUGAUUAGAUAGUUGGUGAGGUAACGGCUCACCAAGUCAACGAUCAUUAGGGGUUCUGAGAGGAAGGUCCCCCACAUUGGAACUGAGACACGGUCCAAACUCCUACGGGAGGCAGCAGUGAGGAAUAUUGGUCAAUGGGCGAGAGCCUGAACCAGCCAAGUCGCGUGAAGGAAGAAUGUCCUAUGGAUUGUAAACUUCUUUUGUAAGGGAAUAAAGUUCACCACGUGUGGUGUUUUGUAUGUACUUUACGAAUAAGGAUCGGCUAACUCCGUG
rnacentral:rRNA from 1 species